rnacentral:rRNA from 1 species
CCCUGCCCUUUGUACACACCGCCCGUCGCUCCUACCGAUUGAACGGUCCGGUGAAGUCUUCGGAGCACGGUUCACGCUCGGUCGGGGCAACUCGGCCGGGUAGGAUCGCGCAAAGUCGACUAAACCUUAUCGUU